CAAGUUAGAGCUUAGCAUAAGCGUUUUAUUUACGCUAAAAAGUCUGGUUGUUAGAUUCAACUUAAUUUGA
rnacentral:tRNA from 1 species